CAUUUAGAGCACAACCAAUAUUACAUUGCUUGCCACAGCCAUGGCUUAAGUGGGGAUGUUUCACCACACAAAAUGCAACGUGUAGAUGGCUCGCUACAAGGAAACCUGGUGUAAAGGUAUAACAAUAUGCAACUUCAAAAAUACAAGAACCACACAACUGCUUAAUUUACAGAAGCUGACAUUCUUCCAAUAAACCUAUUGAUAGCAUCAAUCUAUGGCUAUUCUGACAAGCCUACCUCAGUUAUAUCCUUUAUGAGGAGCAUCACGUCACAGGUUUAAAGGAGGCUUCAACUCUUUUCUUGCAGU
rnacentral:misc_RNA from 1 species